rnacentral:piRNA from 1 species
UGAGCAUCCCUCAGAGCCUGGUGGAC